ensembl:lncRNA JPX JPX transcript, XIST activator
GGAAGACUUAAGAUGGCGGCGUUUGCACGGAGUGCAAUCACUGCGUCCUUACGGGGGUUGCAAGGCGUCCGAAGUAUGAGUCCACUAACAAAAGUCCAGAAACUCGCCAGUUAAUAGUAUUGUGUCUCUUCAAAAUAUCGGAGAAUAAUUUCUUUCUCGCUGAUCGCCUAACUUCUACUGACGAAGCUUGGAAGUUGCAGAAGACAUGAUGUAUUGAGUAAAAGGAACUUCGGUACACAGGCCUUUAGUGAUGUGGUGGUAAGAUGUAUGGCUGGAAUGCAAUGGCAUGACCUUGGCUCACUGCAACCUCUGCCUCCCCAGUUCAAGUGGUUCUCCUGCCUCAGCCUCCCGAGUAGCUGAGAUUACAGGUACUGGCUCCUGUAUCACCCAGCUCUGGAGUUGAAAGAGCUCUUCAUUCCUGAGUCUCCUGUACCACUGAGAAUAGGCUGGAGUGCAGUGGCGCAAUCUCGGCUCUCUGCAACCUUCACCUCCCGUGUUCAAGUGAUUCUCCUGCCUCAGCCUCCUGAAUACCUGAGAUUACAAGCAUGCACCACCACGCCCGUCUAAUUUUGUAUUUUCACUAGAGACGGGGUUUCUCCAUGUUGGUCAGGCUGGUCUCGAACUCCCGACCUCAGGUGAUCCGCCCGCCUCAGCCUCCCAAAGUGCUGGGAUUACAGGCAUGAGCCACCGCGUCCAGCAAGAAUAGGUGAUUUUCAAACUUGGAAACAUUCAGAAGUUAUCGCCUCAGUUUCAGAUUGAGUAGUCUCAAAGAGAUUACAGACAUCUACCACAAAUUCUCUACUUGGUGUGGUGCAAAAUCAGUAUGAUGUAAACUUUGUCUCUCAGUUUCUUCAAAGGAAAGAAGCAACUGGAACACACAUAUAACACUAACCCUUCCAGCUGCAUUAUGAGGGACCAGUACCUGUCUCAAGGCAAAAUUAUGACUUAGUUCAUCCUCACCUCUGGAGGCCAGUAAAAGUGGGUUAUAGAAGAACAAAGAGGCAUCUAGAUCUUUCACUGGGUUAUUUGGAGAGAAACAUCUCCUACCGAAGGCCAGUUUAACAAGACUGGUAGAGGAGGUUAUCUUAUCUAAUUCACAGAAAUCAACACAUUGAGUCAAGAAAAAUGAAACACAGAAACACUCUAAAUAAAAGAAGAUAAGUCUUCAGAAACCAACCCUAAUGAAAUGAAGAUAUGUGAUUAACCUGACAGGAAAUUAAAAAGAGCAACCAUAAAGAGUCUCAUGGGAGCAAUGCAUGAACAAACUGAGAAUUUUCAUAAAGAAAUAAAAGAUAACAAAAAGUAUAAAGUUGAAGAAUACAAUAACUGGACUCAAAAAUUUAAUGUGUCCAACAGAAGAAUCGAUGAAGCAGAAGAAAGGGCUAUCAAACUUGUAGAUAGGCCAUUGGAAAUCAUGUAAUGUGAGGAGAAAAAAGAAAAAA